UACGGAGGGAGCAAGCGUUACUCGGAAUUACUGGGCGUAAAGGGCGCGUAGGCGAUUUUGUAAGUCUUGUGUGAAAGCCCAAAGCCUAACUUUGGAAGUGCACAAGAUACUGCGAGAAUUGAGUUCCGGAGAGGAAGAUGGAAUUCCCGGUGUAGCGGUGAAAUGCGUAGAUAUCUGGAGGAACACCGGUGGCGAAGGCGGCGUUCUGGACUGCAACUGACACUGAGAGACGAAAGCCAGGGGAGCAAACGGG
rnacentral:rRNA from 1 species